UACGGGGGGGGUAAGCGUUGUUCGGAAUUACUGGGCGUAAAGGGCUCGUAGGCGGCCAACUAAGUCAUACGUGAAAUCCCUCGGCUUAACCGGGGAACUGCGUCUGAUACUGGAUGGCUGGAGUUUGGGAGAGGGAUGCGGAAUUCCAGGUGUAGCGGUGAAAUGCGUAGAUAUCUGGAGGAAUACCGGUGGCGAAGGCGGCAUCCUGGACCGACAUUGACGCUGAGGAGCGAAAGCUAGGGGAGCAAACGGG
rnacentral:rRNA from 1 species